UUACGACCAUAUCAUGUUAAAACACCAGCUCUCGUGCGUUCGGUGAAGUUAAGCAACGCGGGACCUGGUUAGUACCAAGAUGGAUAACCGUUUGGGAAUAUAGAUGCUGUAA